AAUAAACGUUGGCGGCGUGCUUAACACAUGCAAGUCGAGCGUGAAAACUCCUUCGGGAGUGAGUAAAGCGGCGGACUGGUGCGUAACACGUGAGUAUCUGCCUAUCAGUGAGGAAUACCUUCGAGAAAUCGAAGUUAAUACUGCAUACGUUCCUUCGGGAAGAAAGGUGGCUUUAUGCUGCCGCUGAUAGAUGAGCUUGCGGACUAUCAGCUAGUUGGUGAGGUAAUGGCUCACCAAGGCUAUGACGGUUAGCCGGCCUGAGAGGGUGUACGGCCACAUUGGGACUGAGAUACGGCCCAGACUCCUACGGGAGGCAGCAGUGAGGAAUAUUGCGCAAUGGGCGAAAGCCUGACGCAGCGACGCCGCGUGGAGGACGAAGGUCUUAGGAUCGUAAACUCCUGUUAAGAGGGAAGAAAGGUCAAGUUUUAAUAGAGCUUGAAUAUGACGGUACCUCUAGAGAAAGCACUGGCUAACUUCGUGCC
rnacentral:rRNA from 1 species